UACGUAGGUGGCAAGCGUCGUCCGGAUUUAUUGGGUUUAAAGGGUGCGUAGGUGGCCUAUUAAGUCAGUGCUGAAAUAUCCCGGCUUAACCGGGAGGGUGGCAUUGAUACUGAUGGGCUUGAGUAAAGUUGAGGUAAGCGGGAUUGACGGUGUAGCGGUGAAAUGCUUAGAUAUCGUCAAGAACACCGAUUGCGAAGGCAGCUUACUAAGCUUUAACUGACACUGAGGCACGAAAGUGUGGGGAUCAAACAGG
rnacentral:rRNA from 1 species